ACUUCUAGGGAAUGGCACUACACCCAAUUCAUCGAGUAUGGUGGUCAUCACCUGACUGAAUAAUACAGACAUGAAUGAAAGGAACAAAGAAGCAGCUAAACAUUGAUGGAGAACAUUGACACUGGUUGCCUAAUAAAUAUGUAACAAAAUGGAAAAUAAGAAAAGCAUUAGAGAAGUAAGAAGGCCAAGAUAUCGGCUUCCCAAAACGACUUCUGGUGUGACAGUGUGCCAAAGGAAAUGAGUAACUUUUAUGUGGGUGGCAGUAUGUCAAAUGUCAUGAGUAGGUGGUUGGCUUUCUUGUUCUGCUAAUUUUCUAAGCCUGUCUUCAAGGAAUUUACAUUUUGUUGGGAAAAAUGCUCUUGGUAAAUUGCAGUUUGCAAUAAAUCAAAGCCCUUUUGUGUCA